rnacentral:rRNA from 1 species
GACGAACGCUGGCGGCGUGCUUAACACAUGCAAGUCGAACGGAAAGGCCUUUUCGGAGGUACUCGAGUGGCGAACGGGUGCGUAACACGUUGGUGAUCUGCCCUGCACUCUGGGAUAAGCCUGGGAAACUGGGUCUAAUACCGGAUAGGACCGCACUUUAGUGUGUGUGGUGGAAAGUUUUUUCGGUGUAGGAUGAGCCCGCGGCCUAUCAGCUUGUUGGUGGGGUAAUGGCCUACCAAGGCGGCGACGGGUAGCCGGACUGAGAGGUUGGUCGGCCACAUUGGGACUGAGAUACGGCCCAGACUCCUACGGGAGGCAGCAGUGGGGAAUAUUGCACAAUGGGCGCAAGCCUGAUGCAGCGACGCCGCGUGGGGGAUGACGGCCUUCGGGUUGUAAACUCCUUUCGCCAGGGACGAAGCGUUUUGUGACGGUACCUGGAGAAGAAGCACCGGCUAACUACGUG